rnacentral:rRNA from 1 species
AUUGAACGCUGGCGGAAUGCUUUACACAUGCAAGUCGAGCGGCAGCACGGGGGCAACCCUGGUGGCGAGCGGCGAACGGGUGAGUAAUACAUCGGAACAUGCCCAGUCGUGGGGGAUAACACUUCGAAAGAAGUGCUAAUACCGCAUACGUGCUGAGGGAGAAAGCGGGGGAUCUGCGGACCUUGCGCGAUUGGAGUGGCCGAUGUCAGAUUAGCUAGUUGGUGGGGUAAAGGCCUACCAAGGCAACGAUCGGUAGCUGGUCUGAGAGGAUGAUCAGCCACACUGGGACUGAGACACGGCCCAGACUCCUACGGGAGGCAGCAGUGGGGAAUUUUGGACAAUGGGGGCAACCCUGAUCCAGCCAUUCCGCGUGAGUGAAGAAGGCCUUCGGGUUGUAAAGCUCUUUCGGCAGGAACGAAACGGCGAGCUCUAACAUAGCUUGCUAAUGACGGUACCUGAAGAAGAAGCACCGGCUAACUACGUGCCAGCCGCCGCCGUAAAAC